rnacentral:rRNA from 1 species
CGUAACAANGUCUCCGUAGGUGAACCUGCGGAGGGAUCAUUACACAAAUAUGAAGGCGGGCUGGAACCUCUCGGGGUUACAGCCUUGCUGAAUUAUUCACCCUUGUCUUUUGCGUACUUCUUGUUUCCUUGGUGGGUUCGCCCACCACUAGGACAAACAUAAACCUUUUGUAAUUGCAAUCAGCGUCAGUAACAAAUUAAUAAUCACAACUUUCAACAACGGAUCUCUUGGUUCUGGCAUCGAUGAAGAACGUAGCGAAAUGCGAUAAGUAGUGUGAAUUGCAGAAUUCAGUGAAUCAUCGAAUCUUUGAACGCACAUUGCGCCCUUUGGUAUUCCAAAGGGCAUGCCUGUUCGAGCGUCAUUUGUACCCUCAAGCUUUGCUUGGUGUUGGGCGUCUUGUCUCUAGCUUUGCUGGAGACUCGCCUUAAAGUAAUUGGCAGCCGGCCUACUGGUUUCGGAGCGCAGCACAAGUCGCACUCUCUAUCAGCAAAGGUCUAGCAUCCAUUAAGCCUUUUUUUCAACUUUUGACCUCGGAUCAGGUAGGGAUACCCGCUGAACUUAAGCAUAUCA